UAAGGGCGCACGGUGGAUGCCUUGGCACUAGAAGCCGAUGAAGGACGUUACUAACGACGAUAUGCUUUGGGGAGCUGUAAGUAAGCUUUGAUCCAGAGAUUUCCGAAUGGGGAAACCCAGCAUGAGUUAUGUCAUGUUAUCGAUAUGUGAAUACAUAGCAUAUCAGAAGGCACACCCGGAGAACUGAAACAUCUUAGUACCCGGAGGAAGAGAAAGAAAAUUCGAUUCCCUUAGUAGCGGCGAGCGAAACGGGAAGAGCCCAAACCAACAAGCUUGCUUGUUGGGGUUGUAGGACACUCUAUACGGAGUUACAAAGGACGACAUUAGACGAAUCAUCUGGAAAGAUGAAUCAAAGAAGGUAAUAAUCCUGUAGUCGAAAAUGUUGUCUCUCUUGAGUGGAUCCUGAGUACGACGGAGCACGUGAAAUUCCGUCGGAAUCUGGGAGGACCAUCUCCUAAGGCUAAAUACUCUCUAGUGACCGAUAGUGAACCAGUACCGUGAGGGAAAGGUGAAAAGCACCCCGGAAGGGGAGUGAAAUAGAACCUGAAACCGUGUGCUUACAAGUAGUCAGAGCCCGUUAAUGGGUGAUGGCGUGCCUUUUGUAGAAUGAACCGGCGAGUUACGAUUUGAUGCAAGGUUAAGCAGUAAAUGUGGAGCCGUAGCGAAAGCGAGUCUGAAUAGGGCGUUUAGUAUUUGGUCGUAGACCCGAAACCAGGUGAUCUACCCUUGGUCAGGUUGAAGUUCAGGUAACACUGAAUGGAGGACCGAACCGAC
rnacentral:rRNA from 1 species